rnacentral:tRNA from 12 species
GGCUAGAGGGGGCACCUUAGAAUCUGGAGGUGGGGGUUCGAGCCCCGCCUUUGU